rnacentral:rRNA from 1 species
UCAAGUAAUGAAGUGCACAUGGUGGAUGCCUUGGCAGUCAGAGGCGAUGAAAGACGUGAUAGCCUGCGAUAAGCGUCGGUGAGGUGGCAAUAUCCUGUGACCCGGCGAUUUCUGAAUGGGGAAACCCAACCAACACAAGUUGGUUAUUACACAGUUUACUGUGUAAGGCAAACCGGGAGAAGUGAAACAUCUCAGUACCCCGAGGAAAAGACAUCAAAUGAGAUUCCGUAAGUAGCGGCGAGCGAACACGGAGGAGCCGAUCAAUUUUACAGUAGCAAAAUGGCGUGGGAAAGCCAACCAUAGUAGGUGAUAGUCCUGUAUGCGAAACUGUUUAAGCGACAUAUUAAGUAGGGCGGAACACGAGAAAUUCUGUCUGAAGAUGGGGGGACCAUCCUCCAAGGCUAAAUACUCCUGACUGACCGAUAGUGAACCAGUACCGUGAGGGAAAGGCGAAAAGAACCCCUGUUAGGGGAGUGAAAUAGAACCUGAAACCGUGUGCAUACAAGCAGUCGGAGCGGACUUGUUCCGUGACGGCGUACCUUUUGUAUAAUGGGUCAGCGACUUAUAUUCUGUAGCAAGGUUAACCGAAUAGGGGAGCCGUAGGGAAACCGAGUCUUAAUAGGGCGAAUGAGUUGCAGGGUAUAGACCCGAAACCGAGUGAUCUAUCCAUGAGCAGGUUGAAAGUGCCGUAACAGGCACCGGAGGACCGAACCCACUGUCGUUGAAAAGCCAGGGGAUGACUUGUGGAUAGGGGUGAAAGGCUAAUCAAACUCGGUGAUAGCUGGUUCUCCCCGAAAGCUAUUUAGGUAGCGCCUCGGACGAACACCAUUGGGGGUAGAGCACUGUUUCGGCUAGGGGGUCAUCCCGACUUACCAAACCGAUGCAAACUCCGAAUACCGAUGAGUGAUAUCCGGGAGACAGACGGCGGGUGCUAACGUCCGUCGUCAAGAGGGAAACAACCCAGACCGCCAGCUAAGGCCCCAAAUUCCUAGUUAAGUGGGAAACGAUGUGGGAAGGCACAGACAGCUAGGAGGUUGGCUUAGAAGCAGCCACCCUUUAAAGAAAGCGUAAUAGCUCACUAGUCGAGUCGGCCUGCGCGGAAGAUGUAACGGGGCUCAAACUAGGAGCCGAAGCUGCGGAUUUAAUUGUUUCAAUUAAGUGGUAGGGGAGCGUUGUGUAAGCCUGUGAAGGUGCACUGUAAGGUGUGCUGGAGGUAUCACAAGAGCGAAUGCUGACGUGAGUAACGACAAAACGGGUGAAAAGCCCGUUCGCCGGAAGACCAAGGGUUCCAGUCCAACGUUAAUCGGGGCUGGGUGAGUCGACCCCUAAGGCGAGGCCGAAAGGCGUAGUCGAUGGGAAAUCGGUUAAUAUUCCGAUACUUGUUUAUGAUGCGAUGGAGGGACGGAGAAGGUUAUGCCAGCCUGGCGAUGGUUGUCCAGGUGGAAGGAUGUAGUUAGACUGAGUAGGCAAAUCCGCUCGGUUAUUAAUGAGAUCUGAUAGCAAGCCAGUUUACUGGCGAAGUGGCAAAUACCCUGCUUCCAGGAAAAGCUUCUAAGCGAUAGUCAUAAACGAAUCGUACCCGAAACCGACACAGGUGGUCAGGUAGAGAAUACCAAGGCGCUUGAGAGAACUCUGCUGAAGGAACUAGGCAAAAUGGUACCGUAACUUCGGGAGAAGGUACGCUGCCGAUGGUGAUGAAACUUGCUUUCUGAGCUGUUGGCAGUCGCAGAUACCAGGCUGCUGCAACUGUUUAUUAAAAACACAGCACUCUGCAAACACGAAAGUGGACGUAUAGGGUGUGAUGCCUGCCCGGUGCUGGAAGGUUAAUUGAUGGGGUUAGCGUAAGCGAAGCUCUUGAUCGAAGCCCCAGUAAACGGCGGCCGUAACUAUAACGGUCCUAAGGUAGCGAAAUUCCUUGUCGGGUAAGUUCCGACCUGCACGAAUGGCAUAAUGAUGGCAGCGCUGUCUCCAGCAGAGACUCAGUGAAAUCGAAAUCGCAGUGAAGAUGCUGUGUACCCGCGGCUAGACGGAAAGACCCCGUGAACCUUUACUACAGCUUUACAUUGAACUUUGACCUAACUUGUGUAGGAUAGGUGGGAGGCUUUGAAGCAGAUACGCCAGUAUUUGUGGAGCCAACCUUGAAAUACCACCCUGGUUAUGUUGGGGUUCUAACUUAGGAUUAACAAAUCCAAGGACAAUGUAUGGUGGGUAGUUUGACUGGGGCGGUCUCCUCCUAAAGAGUAACGGAGGAGUACGAAGGUGCGCUCAGAACGGUCGGAAAUCGUUCAAAGAGUAUAAAGGCAAAAGCGCGCUUAACUGCGAGACCCACAAGUCGAGCAGGUACGAAAGUAGGUCUUAGUGAUCCGGUGGUUCUGUAUGGAAGGGCCAUCGCUCAACGGAUAAAAGGUACUCUGGGGAUAACAGGCUGAUACCGCCCAAGAGUUCAUAUCGACGGCGGUGUUUGGCACCUCGAUGUCGGCUCAUCUCAUCCUGGGGCUGAAGCAGGUCCCAAGGGUAUGGCUGUUCGCCAUUUAAAGAGGUACGCGAGCUGGGUUUAGAACGUCGUGAGACAGUUCGGUCCCUAUCUACCGUGGGCGUUGGAAAUUUGAGAGGAUCUGCUCCUAGUACGAGAGGACCAGAGUGGACGAACCUCUGGUGUUUCGGUUGUCACGCCAGUGGCAUUGCCGAGUAGCUACGUUCGGAUGGGAUAACCGCUGAAAGCAUCUAAGCGGGAAGCCCACCUCAAGAUAAGAUUUCCCUAAGAGCCGUUGUAGACUACGACGUUGAUAGGUUGGGUGUGGAAGUGUAGUGAUACAUGUAGCUAACCAAUACUAAUUGCUCGUUUGGCUUGACCAU